GUCUUCGGACUAUGGCGAUAAACGCGCGUGUAAUAAGCGGCUCGGACCCGGGGGCGGUACCCGGCGGCUCCACCA
rnacentral:tmRNA from 1 species